rnacentral:rRNA from 1 species
GAAUUCGCCCUUAGAGUUUGAUCCUGGCUCAGGACUAACGCUGGCGGCGUGCCUAAUACAUGCAAGUCGAACGGUCGUGCGUUUGUAGCAAUAUGGACGUACGAUAGUGGCGAACGGGUGAGUAACUCGUGGAAAACCUACCCUCGAGCGGGGGAUAACUCCGGGAAACUGGGGCUAAUACCGCAUGACAUCCCAACCUGGCAUCGGGAGGGGAUCAAAGCCGAAAGGCACUUGAGGAUGGUUCCGCGGCCUAUCAGCUAGUUGGCGGGGUAACGGCCCACCAAGGCGACGACGGGUAGCCGGCCUGAGAGGGCGAUCGGCCACAAGGGGACUGAGACACGGCCCCUACUCCUACGGGAGGCAGCAGUAGGGAAUUUUGCUCAAUGGGGGAAACCCUGAAGCAGCGACGCCGCGUGGGCGACGAAAUCCUUCGGGAUGUAAAGCCCUUUUAACCGGGACGAAAUACAUGACGGUACCGGUGGAAUAAGCCUCGGCUAACUCCGUGCCAGCAGCCGCGGUAAGACGGGGGAGGCAAGCGUUGUCCGGAAUCACUGGGUGUAAAGGGCGUGUAGGCGGGCCGGCUAGUCGGUUGUUAAAUCUCUCCGCUCAACGGAGAAGCUGCGGCCGAUACUUCCGGUCUUGAGUGCGGCAGGGGAGGAUGGAAUUCCUGGUGUAGCGGUGAAAUGCGUAGAUAUCAGGAGGAACACCGGUGGCGAAGGCGGUCCUCUGGGCCUGCACUGACGCUGAGUGCGCGAAAGCUGGGGUAGCAAACAGAAUUAGAUACUCUGGUAGUCCCAGCCCUAAACGAUGG